AUCGAACGCUGGCGGCAGGCCUAACACAUGCAAGUCGAGCGAGGGGCGGACGGGUGAGUAAUGUAUGGGGACCAGCCAGAAAGAGGGGGCUACCUACGGGAAACGGUGCCUAAUACCGCAAAGUAUCGGCUGAACCCAUAUGGGAUUAGCUAGUAGGUGGGGUAAAGGGUCACCAAGGCGACGAUCCCUGGCUGGUCUGAGAGGAUGAUCGGCCACACUGGGACUGAGACACGGCCCACACUCCUACGGUAGGCAGCAGUGGGGAAUAUUGCGCAAUGGGCGCAAGCCGGAUGCAGCCAUGCCGCGUGAAUGAAGAAGGCCUUAGGAUUGUAAAGUUCUUUCGGCAGAGAGGCGUUACCCGAACAGGAAGCACCGGCUAACUACGUGCCAGCAGCCGCGGUAAUUC
rnacentral:rRNA from 1 species